AGAGUUUGAUUAUGGCUCAGAACGAACGCUGGCGGCGCGCUUAACACAUGCAAGUCGAACGAGAAGCCGGAGCAAUCCGGUUGUAAAGUGGCGAACGGGUGAGGAAUACAUGGGUAACCUACCCUCGAGUGGGGGAUAACCCGCCGAAAGGCGAGCUAAUACCGCGUACGCUUCCGAUCUUGCGGGAUUGGAAGGAAAGCUGUCCCAAGGGGAUGGCGCUCAAGGAUGGGCUCAUGUCCUAUCAGCUUGUUGGUAGGGUAACGGCCUACCAAGGCAUCGACGGGUAGCUGGUCUGAGAGGACGAUCAGCCACACUGGCACUGCGACACGGGCCAGACUCCUACGGGAGGCAGCAGUGAGGAAUAUUGCGCAAUGGGCGAAAGCCUGACGCAGCGACGCCGCGUGGGGGAUGAAGGUCUUCGGAUUGUAAACCCCUUUCGGGUGGGAAGACGGCCCUAGACAACUAGGGCGGACGGUACCACCAGAAGCAGCCACGGCUAACUUCGUGCCAGCAGCCGCGGUAAUACGAAGGUGGCAAGCGUUGUUCGGAUUUACUGGGCGUAAAGGGAGCGUAGGUGGUUAGGUAAGCCCUCCGGGAAAUCUUCAGGCUUAACCUGAAAAGGUCGGGGGGGACUGCCUGGCUAGAGGACGGGAGAGGAGCGCGGAAUUCCCGGUGUAGCGGUGAAAUGCGUAGAGAUCGGGAGGAAGGCCGGUGGCGAAGGCGGCGCUCUGGAACGUUUCUGACACUGAGGCUCGAAAGCGUGGGGAGCAAACAGGAUUAGAUACCCUGGUAGUCCACGCCCUAAACGAUGGACACUAAGUGCCGGCGGGUUACCGUCGGUGCCGCAGCUAACGCAUUAAGUGUCCCGCCUGGGGGAGUACGGCCGCAAGGUUGAAACUCAAAUGAAUUGACGGGGA
rnacentral:rRNA from 1 species